rnacentral:rRNA from 1 species
UACGAAGGGGGCUAGCGUUGUUCGGAUUUACUGGGCGUAAAGCGCACGUAGGCGGAUCGUUAAGUCGGGGGUGAAAUCCUGGAGCUCAACUCCGGAACUGCCUUCGAUACUGGCGAUCUUGAGUCCGGAAGAGGUGAGUGGAACUCCUAGUGUAGAGGUGAAAUUCGUAGAUAUCGGGAGGAACACCGGUGGCGAAGGCGGCGACCUGGGUUGAUACUGACGCUGAGGCGCGAAAGCGUGGGGAGCAAACAGG